AUUGAACGCUGGCGGCAGGCCUAACGCAUGCAAGUCGAGCGGUUGAAAGGAGCUUGCUCCCUGAUUCAGCGGCGGACGGGUGAGUAAUGCCUAGGAAUCUGCCUAUUAGUGGGGGACAACGUUUCGAAAGGAACGCUAAUACCGCAUACGUCCUACGGGAGAAAGCAGGGGACCUUCGGGCCUUGCGCUAAUAGAUGAGCCUAGGUCGGAUUAGCUUGUUGGUGAGGUAAUGGCUCACCAAGGCGACGAUCCGUAACUGGUCUGAGAGGAUGAUCAGUCACACUGGAACUGAGACACGGUCCAGACUCCUACGGGAGGCAGCAGUGGGGAAUAUUGGACAAUGGGCGAAAGCCUGAUCCAGCCAUGCCGCGUGUGUGAAGAAGGUCUUCGGAUUGUAAAGCACUUUAAGUUGGGAGGAAGGGUUGUAGAUUAAUACUCUGCAAUUUUGACGUUACCGACAGAAUAAGCACCGGCUAACUCUGUGCCAGCCGCCGCCGUAACAC
rnacentral:rRNA from 1 species